ACAGGUGCUGCAUGGCUGUCGUCAGCUCGUGCCGUGAGGUGUUGGGUUAAGUCCCGCAACGAGCGCAACCCUCGCGCUAUGUUGAUUUCUCAUAGCAGACUGCCUUGUACAGCAGAAGGAAGGUGGGGAUGACGUCAAGUCAGCAUGGCCUUUAUGCCCUGGGCUACACACACGCUACAAUGGGUGGGCACAGAGGGUUGCCACGGAGCAAUCCGGAGCGAAUCCCUUAAAACCAUCCUCAGUUCGGAUUGUAGGCUGCAAUCGCCUGCAUGAAGCCGGAGCUGCUAGUAACCGCAGGUCAGCUAUACUGCGGUGAAUACGUUCUCGGGCCUU
rnacentral:rRNA from 1 species